GCCUUGAUGGUGAAAUGGUAGACACGCGAGACUCAAAAUCUCGUGCUAAAGAUAAAGAGCGUGGAGGUUCGAGUCCUCUUCAAGGCA
rnacentral:tRNA from 1 species